rnacentral:lncRNA from 1 species
CCUGGUCUACAGAGUGAGUUUCAGGACAGCCAGGGCUACACAGAGGAACCCUGUCUCGGAAAAAAAAAAGAAGAAGAAGAAGAAGAAGAAAAAAAAAAAAAAAGAAAUCUCUUCAGUGAGAUGAGCAUAUUCUUUCCCCCUUUAAGAAGUCCGUGUGAGUGUAUGUGCACCCUGUGCUUGCUGGUACCCGGGAGGCCAGAGAGUGUGGGAUGCUCCAGAACUGGAGUGAUGUGGGUGCUGGGAACCGAACCUGGGUCCUCUGGGAGAAACGGUAAGUGCUCUACCACUGAGCUGCCUGUCCAGCCCCGUCUCUACCAUUCUUGGUGACCAUGAUACUGUUUAGUCAACAGAGUCUGAACCAUGAAAAUGACCAGGGAGGCUGGCGCCAAGGCUUGCCCUGACUGUCAUCCUCCCUCCAAUGCUCUUUCUGGGACAGGAUGAGGUAGGGGUUGCCAUAACAGCCUCUGACAGCUCAGAAUGUAGAGUCAGAGGCCAGUGCUGGGGUGGGCUUCCUGUAAAUCCUUAAGGGGCAAAUGCAGCUCAAGGUCAGGUGCAUGUUCUGGACACAGGUGUACCUGCAAAGUGUGUUUCGAACUGUCAGCUUGAGUAUGGGCUGUCAGAACGUGGGAGGCCGCUGAGCUGACUGGAGGAGGCACUGGGGCCUGGCUUGAGCAAGUGCCUUCUGAAUUAGUGUCUCCAGCGGGUACAGUUCUGAUGGCCUGAGGCCCAUGUCUUUAGCUUCUAGUUGACUAUGAGAGAAGUCACCAUAGACCUGUGCAUGCCCCACUGGGGACGCUGACAAGCCAUCUUCCCUCACCAGGGUUUCUUGUGAGAACAUUUACACACGCGAGACUUUGGAUCCGUAGUCAAGUAUUUAAAGGAUCUUUUCCUUAGGCUGGAAAGAUAUCUUGGGGGAUAACAGGUGUUGCUCUUACAAAAGACCCGAGUUCAAUUCCCCAGCACCCAUAUUGGCAGCUUAUAACUGCCAUUAACUCGAGUUUCAGGGGAACCUGAGGCCUCUGACUUCUGCAGUUACCUCCUCCACUCGGGAACACGUACCCACACACAGAUCCACAGAUGAGCACACAUAUACAUGAUUAAAAUUAAUAUGAUAAACCUUUACUGGAAAAAUCUGUAAAAAAAAAAAAAAAAAGAAAGAAACAGCCUGGUAUGGCAGCAUGCACCUUUUAUGGCAACACGAGUGGCAUGUCAGAUCUUGGUGAGACUAGCCUGGUCUACAUAAUAAGUUCUGGACCAGCAAGGGCUACCUACAUAGUAAGACCCUGUCCAUAAAUAAAUCAGUAAAUGGACGAGUUUCUCCCCACCUCUCUUUGUGAGAGGCCUGAAUGGCCUGAAGUAAACUUAUUCCUAAUCUGACCUCCCGUGUCUGCCUGUCUGUCUGCACAUAGGACAGUCUGGUCUUGAGCUUGCUGUAGAGCCAUGGCUAGCUCUGACUUUCCAGCUCUCCUGCCUCUGUUUCCUGACUGAUGGGUCCUGUGAACUGGAUCCAUGCUCUCAGGAGGGAGACUUUCCUCAGAGGCUGCUGCUCUUCCGCCCCUUUUACUCCUCUGGCUUAUUCCAAACUUAGCAUCGCUAUGACCGGCUCCCAACCACCUAGGAGAGCUUGGCACGACUGCUCUGAUCCUUUAUAUAUUGUCUGUCUUCCCAAAACUCCCGCCAACUCUCUCCUCUUCCAGGACGACCCCAGCGCUCCCCACAAAAUCCAGGACCCUCUCAAGUCCCGCCUGAAGGAGGAAGAGUCCUUUAACAUCCAGAACUCCAUGUCACCCAAACUUGAGGGUGGCAAAGGUGACCAGGAUGACUUGGGGGUGAACUGUCUGCAGAAUAACCUAACCUGAGACUGAGGAAGAAGAGAGGAAAGGGGGGUGGGGGAGGGAAGGACUGUUGUCUCCUCUCGGGCAGAGUCGGCUUCUUGUAACCAUUUGUUAAGCUUUUCUUUUUCUGAUCUCAUGGCAUGCUCUGAUGUGUUUUGUAGGAGGGGAAACACUUAAAAUAAGCAAAGAAACCGAGCAGGAUUGCAUAUAUCGGAUGGUUCUUGUCUGUGCUCUCUGUACGUUGCUUCUGCAGCUGUGAUUUCUAAACCUCUGCUGGCACUCAGCUGACUUUUUGUUUUGUACUUUGACCCGCCUUUUUUUGGAAUACCAAGUUAAAAAAAAAAAGUUCUUGAAAUAAAACUUUUUAAAAAGCU